CCAAUAGCGUAUAUUAAAGUUGUUGCAGUUAAAAAGCUCGUAGUUGAAUUUCGGGGUCAGUAGGUUGGUCGUGCCACAGGUACGUACUGGUCUCACUGAUUCCUCCUUCCUGAUGAGCUGUAAUGCCAUUAAUUUGGUGUUGCAGGGAAUCUGGACUGUUACUUUGAAAAACUUAGAGUGUUUAAAGCAGGCUAACGCUUGAAUACAUUAGCAUGGAAUAAUGAAAUAGGACGUUCGAUCCUAUUUUGUUGGUUUCUAGGAUUGACGUAAUGAUUAAUAGGGAUAGUUGGGGGCAUUAGUAUUCAAUUGUCAGAGGUGAAAUGCUUGGAUUUAUUGAAGACUAACUACUGCGAAAGCAUUUGCCAAGGAUGUUUUCAUUAAUCAAGAACGAAAGUUAGGGGAUCGAAGACGAUCAGAUACCGUCGUAGUCUUAACCAUAAACUAUGCCGACUAGGGAUCGGAUGAUGUUAAUUUUUUAAUGACUCAUUCGGCGCCUUACG
rnacentral:rRNA from 1 species